GACGAACCGUGCGAACGUUAUUCGGAAUCACUGGGCUUAAAGCGCGUGUAGGCGGGCGGGGACGUCGGUGACUGAAAGCCCCCGGCUCAACCGGGGAAGCGGCGCCGAAACGCCCCGCCUGGAGGGACGUAGGGGGACCUGGAACUUCCGGUGGAGCGGUGAAAUGCGUUGAGAUCGGAAGGAACGCCCGUGGCGAAGGCGGCCCGCUGGGUCGACCCUGACGCUGAGGCGCGAAAGCGUGGGGAGCGAACGGG
rnacentral:rRNA from 1 species